CACCUCUCCCGUCCUCCCUUUCCCGGCUCACGCGCUGCGAUCCCCUACCCGUCGCCUACCUCACUCGCCGCGUCAUCCGCAACGUGCCUACCGCUCUCACCUCCCCGCCGCCUGCCCCAUUCUCCGCCCGGCUGUUCGCCCCACAUGUCGCCCGCCCUCUUCUUCCUUCUCCUCAACGCAAUCCCUCGCUCUCUCCCCUGCCUCACAAUGACGACGGUGGCCCAUCUACCUCGAGAUCGACAAUGAUGGUGGUUGGGGUGGCUAGACAGAGAACCCUAGCCGCAAUGGUGACGGUGUGGCACCUUCCCCCAAAGACCUCCAUGGAUCUGCGUCGCCUCCCUCCUCCAAAUCCAAGGACAACCGAGUAGCAGGGGACUUCCAUGGACGAGGACGACAACCGUAACAUGUGGGACCCCAUGACCGAGCCCCGACAAGCUCGUAGACGACAUCAGGCUGACCUCUACCUCGAAGGCGACCUCAAGAUAUAACACGUGUACGAGGGUGACCUCUGCAAAAGUUUGUUUAGCUAAAUACGUAUUACUGAAAACAUCCAGGCACCAUUCAGUACCCAAGUACUGAAUAUUGCUAAACGUUGAUGAAUUUUAGCUGUUUGGUGAGUAGCUAUGCAGAAGAUUAUGUUUCAGAAGUAUUAUUAUUGAAGACGUAGAAUAUCACUACAGCUCCUGCAGAAGAACGAGAUCAUUAACAUGGUUAAAGUUCUGAUGUUCUGGUUGUAGUUUUAUGAUACUAGAAUCCUUCGUUUGCUCCA